rnacentral:rRNA from 1 species
GAUGAACGCUAGCGGCAGGCUUAAUACAUGCAAGUCGAGGGGUAGCAAGAUUGUAGCAAUACAAUUGUUGACGACCGGCAAACGGUGCGGAACACGUACACAACCUUCCCACAAGUGAGGAAUAGCCCAGAGAAAUUUGGAUUAAUACCCCGUAACAUAGCGAUGUGGCAUCACAUUGCUAUUAUAGCUUCGGCGCUUGUUGAUGGGUGUGCGGCGGAUUAGAUAGUUGGCGGGGUAACGGCCCACCAAGUCUACGAUCAGUAGCUGAUGUGAGAGCAUGAUCAGCCACACGGGCACUGAGACACGGGCCCGACUCCUACGGGAGGCAGCAGUAAGGAAUAUUGGACAAUGGACGCAAGUCUGAUCCAGCCAUGCCGCGUGAAGGAUUAAGGUCCUCUGGAUUGUAAACUUCUUUUAUAAGGGACGAAAAAAGGUCUUUCUAGAUCGUCUGACGGUACCUUAUGAAUAAGCACCGGCUAACUCCGUGCCAGCCGCCGCCGUAAGGC